CCCUGGCAGGAGGCUGCAGUCACUCCUCACUCGUUCACUAUAUAUAAAGAUCGGUCUGCGUCGUGGGUCAGUCAGAGGUGCAGACAGGCUGCUCAUACCCAGAGAGCCGCUGGCUGGACAUAAGAGAGGCCGGGAGGAUGUUUCCUGAGACAGCUCUGUUUGUGGCGAAUUAUCUCCUCUCUCGAUGGAAAUAUCGUUGGCAAAAUCUCAACCAUUACUACCUGGGCAAGAGAAUUCGCCACUUCACGAGCCUGUGACCUGUCACCCCUGAGGGGUCACCCACGCUGCCAACCCAGGACCAGUUCCCAAUGGUGCCUGCUUGAUCCCCGAGACGGAGAUGUAACCCUGAGUGGAGCAGCCCGUCCUCUGCUCCCCGGACUCCUCCCCAACUGGGACUGAGGCUCCUGCACAGAGUGGCUCCCUGGGUCUUGGCUGACUGACUGGAUGCAAUACUGCUUGCAAUAAAA
rnacentral:lncRNA from 1 species